rnacentral:tRNA from 1 species
ACUAUUUUGGCAGAAAAUUGUAAUGAUUUUAGAAUUCAUGUAUAUAUAUAUUAUUUAAUAUAUAAAUAGUA